AGUUGCUUUAUGACGCCGGGCGCGUGCGCAUUUAAAACAAUUCUCGAAAGAAAUGUUCACAAAUUAGUUUAAAUUCGAAAACGUUUCGGUAUGGACGCAAGAAAAAGGAAUUCUAAGAAAUAGAAAUUCUAAGCGAAACAACAACGAAAAAGGAAAAUAAUUUAAAUAGGGAUAAUAAUAUACAAAAACAUAACAACAAAAACACAACGGUAUUAAGGAAUCUGUUUCAGAAUUUCAGUGAGUUAAAUCUGUUAAAAAGUUCUGCGGUUAAUUUGUUUGUUUCUUUAACAAAAAACGUAAUCUAAUAUUUUAAUUAUUAUCAUCAGCUCAGCAGCAGUGUAGAAUAUAUUGGCCUAAAAUACUAGAUAUUUUAUGUUAAUAUAUUAAAUUCGAGUGACUUACGUCACCCAAGAUUUUGUACAUUUUCAAGCGAGCAUUGGACUGGGUGUUAAUUAUUUCUAUGCCGGUUUGCUGCAAGUAUUUGUUGUCAUUGAUCAAUUAGCUUCCUAGCUUUCAAGCGAACGGUCGUGUUUUUUUUUUGCGCUCCGAUUCCUAUUUUGUGUUUGUCAAACCAGCCAAGUAUCAUGCUCUCCAUUUCCUAUGUCCUGUAG
rnacentral:lncRNA from 1 species